rnacentral:rRNA from 1 species
UAGCUAGUUGGUGAGGUAACGGCCCACCAAGGCGACGAUCGGUAGCCGGACUGAGAGGUUGAACGGCCACAUUGGGACUGAGACACGGCCCAGGCUCCUACGGGAGGCAGCAGUGGGGAAUAUUGCACAAUGGGGGAAACCCUGAUGCAGCGACGCCGCGUGGAGGAAGAAGGUCUUCGGAUUGUAAACUCCUGUUGUUGGGGAAGAUAAUGACGGUACCCAACAAGGAAGUGACGGCUAACUACGUGCCAGCAGCCGCGGUAAAACGUAGGUCACAAGCGUUGUCCGGAAUUACUGGGUGUAAAGGGAGCGCAGGCGGGAAGACAAGUUGGAAGUGAAAUCUAUGGGCUCAACCCAUAAACUGCUUUCAAAACUGUUUUUCUUGAGUAGUGCAGAGGUAGGCGGAAUUCCCGGUGUAGCGGUGGAAUGCGUAGAUAUCGGGAGGAACACCAGUGGCGAAGGCGGCCUACUGGGCACCAACUGACGCUGAGGCCCGAAAGUGUGGGUAGCAAACAGGAUUAGAUACCCUGGUAGUCCACACCGUAAACGAUGAUUACUAGGUGUUGGAGGAUUGACCCCUUCAGUGCCGCAGUUAACACAAUAAGUAAUCCACCUGGGGAGUACGACCGCAAGGUUGAAACUCAAAGGAAUUGACGGGGGCCCGCACAAGCAGUGGAGUAUGUGGUUUAAUUCGACGCAACGCGAAGAACCUUACCAAGUCUUGGCAUCCCUUGGCGAUGCUGGAAACAGUGUUUCUCUUCGGAGCAAGGAGACAGGUGGUGCAUGGUUGUCGUCAGCUCGUGUCGUGAGAUGUUGGGUUAAGUCCCGCAACGAGCGCAACCCUUAUGGUCAGUUACUACGCAAGAGGACUCUGGCCAGACUGCCGUUGACAAAACGGAGGAAGGUGGGGAUGACGUCAAAUCAUCAUGCCCUUUAUGACUUGGGCUACACACGUACUACAAUGGCGUUAAACAAAGAGAAGCAAGACCGCGAGGUGGAGCAAAACUCAGAAACAACGUCCCAGUUCGGACUGCAGGCUGCAACUCGCCUGCACGAAGUCGGAAUUGCUAGUAAUCGUGGAUCAGCAUGCCACGGUGAAUACGUUCCCGGGCCUUGUACACACCGCCCGUCACACCAUGAGAGCCGGGGGGACCCGAAGUCGGUAGUCUAACCGCAAGGAGGACGCCGCCGAAGGUAAAACUGGUGAUUGGGGUGAAGUCGUAACAAGGUAA